rnacentral:rRNA from 1 species
AGCAUGCAACUGACACUGAGGCACGAAAGCGUGGGUAUCAAACAGGAUUAGAUACCCUGGUAGUCCACGCAGUAAACGAUGAAUACUAGCUGUUGGCGAUAUAAUGUCAGCGGUACAGCGAAAGUGUUAAGUAUUCCACCUGGGGAGUACGCCGGCAACGGUGAAACUCAAAGGAAUUGACGGGGGCCCGCACAAGCGGAGGAACAUGUGGUUUAAUUCGAUGAUACGCGAGGAACCUUACCCGGGCUUGAAAGUUAGUGACGGCGGAUGAAAGUCUGCUUCCCUUCGGGGCACGAAACUAGGUGCUGCAUGGUUGUCGUCAGCUCGUGCCGUGAGGUGUCGGCUUAAGUGCCAUAACGAGCGCAACCCUUGCCGUUAGUUGCCAGCGGGUCAUGCCGGGAACUCUAGCGGGACUGCUACUGUAAGGUAGAGGAAGGUGGGGAUGACGUCAAAUCAGCACGGCCCUUACGUCCGGGGCGACACACGUGUUACAAUGGUAGGUACAGAGGGUUGCUACCCCGCGAGGGGAUGCUAAUCUCCUAAAACCUAUCUCAGUUCGGAUCGGAGUCUGCAACUCGACUCCGUGAAGCUGGAUUCGCUA